CUGGCGCGCGGUAUCCCUCCGCCGGGGUCGUCACCCCGGGGUCCGCGCCGGGACCUCCCCUCCGGCAGGGGGCGGGAGGGGCGGGAGAGGCCCGCGGGGCAGCGGCGCUCUGCUGGGGGCUCGAACGCUGCCCGGCCGCGGUGCCAGCGCCGGCUCUGCUCCUUUAAAAGGGGGCCGGGCCGGCGGUGACCCCGCGUGAUGUCCGCCUCUUCCUGGUUGCUAUAGUCACCGCCUUCUAGCGUCCCAAAAUGGCGCUGUGCCGCCCGCGGAGGCGUUCGAAGCGCGGCGGUGCGACUCGGCCCCGAGCGAGGACUGCCGCCGGCUGCCAUCACCCUGUGGGAGGUGCGGGCCGGGCCGCCGCCCCUCGCCUUGUGGCCAGGGAUUCUCUUUCUUUUCCGUCAGAGAGGCCGGGGGGCCGCUCCCAGGGAAAGGCAAGCUGAGCUGCACCCUCAGGGUAGCUGGACUUAAGAAAGAAAAUAGCCCAACACCUCGCACUAGGAGAAUAAAGCUAAAUUGUCUGUCUGGGAAUAGGAAAACUGAAAACAGAAAAAUGAUUUUCUUCCAGAGAUGAGGAAACUUUUCAGGUUAGCAAUCAAGAAAUUAAAGGGAGUGGGAGAUGGCAAACUGAAAUUAAACUGCUAGUCCAAAUAACCUGUGUUUUUGGUUUUUUAUCUGCUCCUUCUUUUGGUUUCUCUCAUGCCACAUCUUUUAUAACUCACCAGUGCUCUCAGAUGUUUCAGAAAGGUGGGGAGAGGGAGUGUAAUUUCAAUCUCCCUCAAAACUUCUUUGAGAUAGCCCUUACUUUGGACGUUCAAUUUACCAUUCAUUUUUGCACUCAGAUAAUAAGACUCUUAUUAUUAUUGUUAUCUACGGUUUUUCACUUCUCAUUUAGGUUUCCUCUGAAGGACUUCAGAUAUCUAUUUUUGGUUUUAUUUUCACCUGUCCAAUUAUAUCCCUAAGACAAACCAAAGUCAUUUAAGGAAAACUGCAAAAAGCUUUGUAACAGUCAGUGGAAGUAUAUGAUUUCUCUGGGGAGACGGGACAGCGGCCUUUCAGUGUCUGAAGAGGGACUAUAAAGAAGAAGAUGGCAGACUCUUUAGCAGGGUCUGUUGUGGUAGGUCAAGGAGAAAUGGUUUCAAAAUGAAGGAGGAGAGAUAUAGAUUAGAUAUAAGAAAAUGCUUUUCUUACUGUAAGGCUGGGGAAGCACGGGCAUGGGUUGCCCAGAGGGAGGUUGUGGAUGCCCCAUCCUUGGAGACAUUCAAGAUGAGACUGCACCAGGCUCUGAGCAACCUGAUCGAGCUGUUGGUGUCCCUGUUCAUUGCAGGGAGUUGCACUAUGUGAUCUUUAAAGGUCCUUUCCAGCUCAAACAAUUUUAUGGUUCCAUUGUUAUAAUUAGUUUGUUAAUGUUUCUUCAUCAGAAGCAUUUACAGGAAGCUAGUGUCAUUGAAAACUAGUUGUUUUGGGUGGUUUGAAGGCUUUUGGUUUGAUUUUAGUACAGUAAGCUCAUCUGAGUAUGAUGUGGUGAAUGUGUUUGGAUAUAUCAUUGUACCCUCUGAAAACUUUCAAAUUCAAUCACAGUUGAAUUAACUAUUGCUGAAAACAGCUAACUCCACAUAAGUAAUCUCUGCAAUUGUAACUGCAGUACAUGUAAACUUAGGGAUGCUAGUUAGCAUUGCUGUGGCUGUGGAAGAGGUCUCUGAGUAAAAUAGUAAUUAAAGGUGUAUGCAUCACCAAAUUGCCAAGUCACAUAUCACAUACCACGUGUGUAGCUGUCCUGGGGUAGCAUCGAGGAGGCCCUGUAGCUGGUUCAUGUUUGCAGUAUGUUAUUCUGCGGCCUCCAUAAUAAAUCAGUCACUGCAUGAAAGACCUUAUAAUCUAAGCCUCCAGCCUUGCGCAUAGUUCUACGAACACUAAGUUUGCUACUUUGAAUAGUCCCAUUCUUCAAAGUCAGUGCUUUCGAAAUGGUGCAUUGUUUGUUUAAGCAGAAAGAGUAUCUGCAGUUGUAUGGUGUAUUCGUAUGAAGGCUCUCAUAUUUCUGUGAACACAGCUCUACUUUGAAUUGGCUCCACAGGCUUUACGUGAGCAGUAAAUUCAACUUUUCCACUACAAAGUUACUAGUUUACUGGCAAUGGUUUAUACAGCUACAGAGUGUAUAGACCAGUGGUCAUGGGCAGGCUUUCCAGGUACCAGCCGACUAACAAGCUGACUAACAAAGUAUACUAGAACCAGAAAUCCUCUGCAAAUACACAAAGUCUUAGGAAAGUUUUAGAGCAAAAAAAUUCAGUUGAACAAGGCGGUCAUCUCUGAGGAAGAAGCCAGUGUAUUGCGGCAAGCUUUGUGUUCAGCCCUGUCUACAGUCUGUGUGUUUUGUUCAGCUUUUUCCCCUCGCUCCAGGGAAUUGAAUUAUUUUUCCAUUAUGCACCCUGGUAUAUGAGGGAUGUUCUAUAGACAGCUUUCCUAAGUCUGCUACUGCCUCAUGAUUGGUACGGUAGGCUUAAACUGUUGUAUACUUAUAAUUGAACAUAAAUGAAUUGAAAUUGCUGUAAAUAAAAAUAAAAGAUCUCUCUGAAACCAGAGGUAAGCAUACACUAAUAAGUUUGCUGAGCCUAAGUAUAGUGUAGCAGUCAAAGCAGGAGGACAAAACAGGACAACAAGCCCCUAGGCUGUGAUGCUGCAGGAGCAUGUAUCUUUGGCUGUAAGCAUGUCAAUUACUUUAGUACUGCAAAAAUAAUUCAGAAAACAUUUAUUAUUUUUCAGUACUGCUGUUUGCAAUAAUGGCAAGGUGUGUUUCUGCAUCUUUACUUGUCUUUAACUCAAAUCUAGAGAAACUAGGACGUGUGGAAAAAGGAAAACAAGGCCUGGUGCAGGCAAAUUAUAUAGGAAGCAGACCAAAACAGAGGCUGUUUGAACGCUUUUAACCAGUCAAAUGCAGUAGUAGUUGGAAGAAUUAGCAAGAAAUAUACAUCUGUGUGGAUGUUUUUGUGCCCCAAACAUGACCAGGAGGCACUGAUGCAACUUUACCUUUUGCAGCAAAUGACAGCUUCCAUCCUAGAUAAAAACUCAAUUUCAGUUAAUGCUUCAAAUUUAGAGGCAGUAACCAAAACUUUUUAAACAAAAGUAUUGACUACUCACUAGCAAGUAUGCACUUACAUUGAGAAGCUGGGAAGAGAAGAUUCCCAGAUAGCUUCUGCUUAAGCUACUCAAAGGUGGAUGCUGAAGGAGAAGCCUUGUAAUUCACUACAAAAAAAAACUCUUCUAAAAAUAGACUGUACAGAAGUGCAGGUCUAUAAAUAAGUAUUCGUGGAAUACAGCUUAAAUAGCUAGAUUGUAUAGAAAAAAGAUCUUUUGAACCAACAGUGAAAAUAUUUAUUUUAUUUUAGCUGUUUUAAGGCUCUAAACAUAACUUCAGAAUUGCAGGGAAACUAUCUUACACAUUCCUUCUGCAUGAGCAUUUAACAGUUCCACUGCAGAAAUAAGAAAUCUCCUUGAGUUUUGUAAGUCCACACUGUUCCAUCCAGCCACAUGAUAGCUCUUCACAGCUUAAAUGGGACUAGAUGCUCUUGAGAGGUAAUGAGGCUUUUUUUGCCUUGUUACUUAACACAGAACAACUGUUCCACAUAAUCAUUUCUCUGCAGAUUAACUUACAUCUUAUUUUGUGGGGAGACAUCCUUUAGCUUAAAUAGUGCCAUUGUGUGUAGGUAGCAGUGUGUGUAUGUGUACGUACGUGAUUGGUUUUUUUCUUUUUUCAUUUUAGUAAAUAUUCUCUCUUGACAGUCUUGUUUUUUUUCAGUUUCCACUUAUGAAACACUCUCCUUCCUGGUCACUGUGGUACCUUUUCUGUGCAUUUCUUCCCAUUAGAACUUUUAUUCUAAGUAAACAGUC